UCCCGGUGCCGCUGCCGGCCUCCCGCAGCGCCGCCCUCCUCCCGCGCCUAUUUACAGGAGGGCCCAUAUUUAGGAACCUAUAUUUACACCUCCUACUCUUACACCCACUCAUUUAUUUGUUAAUUUGGCACCCAGGGUCAGAUUUUAGAGGCUCAGAAGUGGUUCUGGUGGUGUGCGUCCCAAACACGUCCAGGCUAUAAUUUCUGUGUCCGGUUACUGUGUUGUGUACGGCUAACUGUAACUGAGGUAACUGUGCUUGUAGGUACUGAAUCGUGCAAGUGCCGGUCAUGCUAGCUGCAUGUGAAAGCAGAGCGCUGCCUUUUUCAGGUGGAGUCAGGCGCUAGCAAGGAGAUGGCUGUUUGCUUUCUUCUACAGGUUGUUUUGGGAUUGCUCCCCUUCCUGUGUAGUUGCUGCCGCAGGAACUGCAGGCAAGUGGGAUGGAGCAGGAAACUCAGAGCUGACUUCUUUUCUGCAUGGCCCCUUGGGGCUGCUGCUUAGCACAGUUGCAUCCUCCCUGACCCCUGGACCGCACCACCACCAGGGCAGAAACAUCUCUACUGCAGCCAGCACAGAGAGGCCUGACAGCGCAGAAGAACUUUGUACUCACAGCAUGCAUGACAGGAGCAAUUUGCAUCCUGCUCAACACAGACUUCAGGAUGAUGCAGAAUGGGAAAAGGAGAUGCGUUCUCAGGGUCAUUAUAGCAGUCCUGCCCUCCUGCUGGGGGUGGGCCAGUUUUUGAUGGGAGUUGCAGGAGUCUUUGAUAUGCUCUCAAACUAGACAAAGGCAAACUGUGGAUGGAGCCACAGGCCUCUUGAUGCACGUGCCCAGAGGCAUGGGCUGUGCUCCAUGGAGAGGAGCAGCUGAAGUGGCUGCAGCCACCCUGUCCCCUGCCAGGGGCUCUGAGCAGGGACCCGCUGGGCUCAGCAGGUGAAGGCCACUUCUAACUCACAAAACUCUAUGGAGAAAGGACAAGGGCAGAUGGGGGGGGGGCAGUUACUCUCAACCUUAAGAGGCCCUUUCUUGCCCUUUGCCUCUUGAACACCUCUUCUGCAUGGCUUUUCCGAGGGGCUUUCUUUCUUCCUGGGCAGUGACUCAAUCUGCUCGUUCUCUGCAGAAGUCCUGCCCUCUGCACUGAGAGCACU
rnacentral:lncRNA from 1 species